GGCGAUCGGGUGAGUAACACGUGAGAGAAUCUCCCAUACACUCUGGGAUAACUCCGGGAAACGGUGUGCUAAUACCGGAUAUGACGCCUUGAUCGCAUGAGCGGGGAUGUGACAGUUUAUCGGUUGAAGAUGACAUGCGCGGCCUAUCAGCUGGUUGGUCGAGGUAAUGGCUCACCAAGGCGACGAUAGUAGCUGGUCUGAGAGGACGACCAGCCACACUGGGACUGACACGGCCCAGACUCCUACGGGAGGCAGCAGUGGGGAAUAUUGGACAAUGGGCGAAAGCCUGAUCCAGCAAUGCCGCGUGAGUGAUGAAGGCCUUAGCGUUGUAAAGCUCUUU
rnacentral:rRNA from 1 species